rnacentral:rRNA from 1 species
AGCAGCCGCGGUAAUUCCAGCUCCAAUAGCGUAUAUUAAAGUUGUUGCAGUUAAAAAGCUCGUAGUUGAAUUUCGGGAUCAGUUGGUCGGUCGUGCCUCGGUACGUACUGGUCAAAUUGAUUCCUACCUUCUGACGAACCACGAUGUCAUUAAUUUGGUGUCGCGGGAAAUCAGGACUGUUACUUUGAAAAAAUUAGAGUGUUUAAAGCAGGCUCGCGCUUGAAUACAUUAGCAUGGAAUAAUGAAAUAGGACGUUUGAUUCUAUUUUGUUGGUUUCUAGGAUCGACGUAAUGAUUAAUAGGGAUAGUUGGGGGCAUUAGUAUUCAAUUGUCAGAGGUGAAAUUCUUGGAUUUAUUGAAGACUAACUACUGCGAAAGCAUUUGCCAAGGAUGUUUUCAUUAAUCAAGAACGAAAGUUAGGGGAUCGAAGACGAUCAGAUACCGUCGUAGUCUUAACCAUAAACUAUGCCGAUAGGGAUCGGAUGAUGUUAAAUUUUUUAUGUACUCAUUCGGCGCCUUAC